rnacentral:rRNA from 1 species
GAUGAACGCUGGCGGCGUGCCUAAUACAUGCCAGUCGAGCGAACGGACGAGAAGCUUGCUUCUCUGAUGUUAGCGGCGGACGGGUGAGUAACACGUGGAUAACCUACCUAUAAGACUGGGAUAACUUCGGGAAACCGUAGCUAAUACCGGAUAAUAUUUUGAACCGCAUGGUUCAAAAGUGAAAGACGGUCUUGCUGUCUCUUAUCGAUGGAUCCGCGCUGCAUUAGCUAGUUGGUAAGGUAACGGCUUACCAAGGCAACGAUGCAUAGCCGACCUGAGAGGGUGAUAGGCCACACGGGAACUGAGACAGGGUCCAGACUCCUACGGGAGGCAGCAGUAGGGAAUCUGCCGCAAUGGGCGAAAGCCUGACGGAGCAACGCCGCGUGAGUGAUGAAGGUCUUCGGAUCGUAAAACUCUGUUAUUAGGGAAGAACAUAUGUGUAAGUAACUGUGCACAUCUUGACGGUACCUAAUCAGAAAGCCACGGCUAACUACGUG